rnacentral:rRNA from 1 species
AGAGUUUGAUCAUGGCUCAGGACGAACGCUGGCGGCGUGCCUAAUACAUGCAAGUCGAACGGUCUUUUCUAUGGAAGCUUGCUUCCACUGAGAAGAUAGUGGCGAACGGGUGAGUAACACGUGGGUAACCUGCCCAUAAGAGGGGGAUAACAUCCGGAAACGGGUGCUAAUACCGCAUAGUUUUCUUGAUCGCAUGAUCGGGAAAGGAAAGACGGCCUUUGUGCUGUCGCUUAUGGAUGGACCCGCGGCGUAUUAGUUAGUUGGUGAGGUAACGGCUCACCAAGACGAUGAUACGUAGCCGACCUGAGAGGGUGAUCGGCCACAUUGGGACUGAGACACGGCCCAAACUCCUACGGGAGGCAGCAGUAGGGAAUCUUCCGCAAUGGACGAAAGUCUGACGGAGCAACGCCGCGUGAGUGAAGAAGGUUUUCGGAUCGUAAAACUCUGUUGUCAGAGAAGAACAAGUUGGAGAGUAACUGCUCCAGCCUUGACGGUAUCUGACCAGAAAGCCACGGCUAACUACGUGCCAGCAGCCGCGGUAAUACGUAGGUGGCAAGCGUUGUCCGGAUUUAUUGGGCGUAAAGCGAGCGCAGGCGGUUCCUUAAGUCUGAUGUGAAAGCCCACGGCUCAACCGUGGAAGGUCAUUGGAAACUGGGGAACUUGAGUGCAGAAGAGGAGAGUGGAAUUCCAUGUGUAGCGGUGAAAUGCGUAGAUAUAUGGAGGAACACCAGUGGCGAAGGCGACUCUCUGGUCUGUAACUGACGCUGAGGCUCGAAAGCGUG